UGGGUAACCUGCCUCAAAGAGGGGAAUAGCCUCCCGAAAGGGAGAUUAAUACCGCAUAAUAUGUUUAGGUCGCAUGACUUUAACAUCAAAGGAUUUUCUUUUAAGAAAUUCCACUUUGAGAUGGACCCGCGGCGCAUUAGCUAGUUGGUGAGGUAACGGCUCACCAAGGCAACGAUGCGUAGCCGACCUGAGAGGGUGAUCGGCCACAUUGGAACUGAGACACGGUCCAGACCUCCGUAGGGACGG
rnacentral:rRNA from 1 species